AUAUAUAUAUAUAAUAUACUAACUGUUCAAUAAUAUUUUUAUUUGUAAACAAUAAAAAUAUAAUAUUAUUACAUAUAAAUAAAUGAACAACAAAUAAUAAUAAUUAAAAAAAAGAAAGAAAAAAAACAUCUGCAAAUGCUCUCAAGACAAGCUCAAGAACAGCCGGAACAACUAUGAAAGUCACCUCAAUUUAACAAAUACUUACACCAAAUUAAAGAAUAGGAACCACUUUUCAUCUCUUCAAUCCUACCAUUAGGACGUGCAUACAAAAAGCACCGAGUACCAAUUUCUUGAAAGGACUCAAGUAUUUCCUUUAAUCCCAGUCAGGCAGUCGUAAUCUAAGAAUAUUUCGUAAAAAAGUUCAAGUUCUAGUUAAAAAAAAUUGCACCUUUUUAUGACGUCAUAGCUCGCCUUGCAUGCAAUAUCCACAACAAUUUGUUCUCUCCUCGAUUUAGCCCAGCCGCGAACCACAACUCCGAUUCGCGCAGGCUCCCCGGUGCGGCUGAUUCCCUUGGUGAUUUGGAUUUUCGAUUUGAGGGAGAGGACGCAAUCGAGGACCGAGAUUCACAUGGAUGUGGGUGCGAUGGUGGUGAGGAAAGAGGAUGCCCGCGAGAUGCUAGUCAAGAUUUAAUUUGAAGAAAUUGAAUGGUAAAUCAAUUAAAGAUAAGGUGCAAGAAGAUGUGCUUAGUAGGUUGUACCUAAAGAUACA
rnacentral:lncRNA from 1 species